UACGUAGGGCGCAAGCGUUAUCCGGAAUUAUUGGGCGUAAAGAGCUCGUAGGCGGUUUGUCGCGUCUGCUGUGUAAACCUAGGGCUUAACUCUGGGCGUGCAGUGGGUACGGGCAGGCUAGAGUGCGGUAGGGGAGACUGGAAUUCCUGGUGGUAGCGGUGAAAUGCUCAGAUAUCAGGAGGAACACCGAUGGCGAAGGCAGGCUCGUCG
rnacentral:rRNA from 1 species